rnacentral:tRNA from 1 species
GGGAGCGUAGCUCAGUUGGUUAGAGCAUCGCCUCGACAAGGCGAGGGUCCUCAGUUCGAAUCUGAGCGUUCCCACCA